CCUACGGGAGGCAGCAGUGAGGAAUAUUGGUCAAUGGGCGGAAGCCUGUACCAGCCAAGUCGCGUGAGGGAUUAAGGCCCUGCGGGUCGUAAACCUCUUUUGCCGGGGAGCAGAGGUCCGGACGUGUCCGGGCCGGGAGAGUACCCGGAGAAACAGCAUCGGCUAACUCCGUGCCAGCAGCCGCGGUAAUACGGAGGAUGCGAGCGUUAUCCGGAUUUAUUGGGUUUAAAGGGUUCGUAGGCGGGCAUUUAAGCCGGCGGUCAAAUGUCGGGGCUCAACCCCGGCCUGCCGUCGGAACUGGGUGCCUUGAGUGGGCGAGAAGUAUGCGGAAUGCGUGGUGUAGCGGUGAAAUGCAUAGAUAUCACGCAGAACCCCGAUUGCGAAGGCAGCAUACCGGCGCCCUACUGACGCUGAGGCACGAAAGUGCGGGUAUCGAACAGGAUUAGAUACCCCAGUAGUC
rnacentral:rRNA from 1 species